AGUAAUUCUUGACUGAUGUCGCGAAUGUUUGUUAAAAUUAGUGAAAAGUAUUUGUUUAAAGUGUUAAAGUGUGUUUUUCAUUAACUUAAAGUUAAAAUCGCUAAGAAAUGCAAAAGAGUAGUGUCGUGAAAGUUGUUGUGCGUUAAAUUUCUCGAAAGUAUGAUUGUCUACAUAUAUUGUGCAAAUUCCUUAAGUGUGUUUUAGGGUUCGUUCGUGGGUGUGUAUAUGCUUKUAUGUAUGAACCUAACAAUCUUUACGCGUUUCGCUGUUGGAUUAUGUCGCAUGUGUCGGGUAGUAAAUGCUACAGUGUUGYUAUAAAAAAUAGCGCGUGGCGUAAUAUUGGCAAAACAAAUUUGAAAAGGCCGCCGCAGCCAGCCAUUCUAAACGCUUGACAAUCCACAGACAUAAUCCAGACUGCAACACUUGUAACGAUGCACGUUUACUGUUUUCAAUUGGCUGAAAGCGGUUUCCCCGGAGCGAUCGUCUGAGUGUACUGAAUACCCAGAAGUCAUUUGACGACAAAAUCAGGUGAAUGCAGUGCUUGCGGUACGACAUUGGUUGAAAUUUUGACGAAAACUCGCGGGGAAUCAUUGUAAUAURAGACGUCACAUUUUCAUAGUGCAAAAACCAAGAGCUGUCCGUCCAUAAUUCCGGUCGGCGGGUAGUAAGGAAUACGGAGUGCACC